GCUUACCGUGGUCUUCAGUUGUCGAGUACCCUAUUUGGGGUGGCUGUUAUCCAAAUCAAACCCCAGAUGGAGAAGUUGUUGCGCCUUCCUGACGAUAGCUUGACCAAAGAAAU
rnacentral:ribozyme from 1 species